UAACCGGUUCUUUUAAGAACCACAAAUUAUUUUUGAAAAGUUGUUU
rfam:Megaselia scalaris, Durham, NC isolate 2 -- Noor lab, WGS project CAQQ02000000 data, contig: ctg0000073495